rnacentral:lncRNA from 1 species
ACAGCACCUUCCUGCACCUGGACACCCGGGCCUGCUACCCGGGGCCCUGCCUGGGUGAGUGCGCACAGGAAAAAAUACAGGGAGUAGCAUGUUUUCCCAAACCCCAGAUUUCCAACCCCCCCCCCCCGCCCGAGAUAUCCAUCUAUCUCCCUGAUAUUUGAUCUCGUUUCUUUCCCCUUCCCACCAUCUUUUCCUCUGAGCCCUUUGGGAUGUGACCCUUGCUGCUGAGUGACAGGGAACACGGCGAAUUAGGACUUGUGUGAACUCUUGGCUCCCUCUUGCCCUUUUCCUGCGCAGGGCGUUGGCCAGGGCUGGGAUGAGAGUAGAGGGCAGGGGAGGGGCGGGAAGGGAGGAGAGAAGCUGGAGGGGCCUGGCUGGCAUCCCCCCACCUUGGUCCCCAGAGGAGUGUGUGUGGAGCAGCUGGAGCAGCUGGACGCGAUGCUCCUGUCGGGUGCUGGUGCAGCAGCGCUAUCGGCACCAGGGACCAGCGCCCCGAGGGGCGGGGACGGGGGCGGGCCCCCCCUGCACACGACUGGACGGCCACUUCCGGCCUUGCCCCCUCGGCAACUGCUCUGGUGAGAACCCCGGAGCCGGAGGCCGGAGAGCUGAGCCCUGCCCUUGCCCGCACUGACCCCCGCUCUCAGCAGCCCCGUGACCCCCAUGCCUCACGUCCCACCCCUCCCCGCUCCACUGCGAUCUCCCCACUUUGUAGCUGCAGGCUUUGUCCACUUGCGGCUGCUCCCAGGCCCGGAAGGUCUGGCCCACCUCUCGUUGUGGCCACCCUCUCAAUCUCUGCCCCCCUGGCUCCCAUCUGCCAACCUCUGGAGCACCUGCCAGGCCCCUCGCUCCCCGCAGGCCCUAUCCUCCGUGCAGCUACCUGGCUCUCCAAGCCCCGACCAUCAUGACCCUUCCCUAGAGACAGCCACAGGGGCCGAGUGGGCGUUAGACGGGGCAGCACUGGUCAGUCCUUACUGGCAGCCUGGGGCCAGGCUUACACUCUUACGAGGAGGCCCCGAGGGGCCUUGAUGGGACCGUGCACUGUGUGCUCCAGGCUUGGGGCGGGGGCAGGUGGAGGGUGUCUCUGGGCUGCCCCCCCACCAGCCUGCUGGCCUCUGUUCCCCCCCAGAGGACAGUUGCACACCUCCCUUUGAGUUCCAGGCCUGUGGCUCCCCCUGUGCCGGGCUCUGUGCCACGCACCUGAGCCGUCGGCUCUGCCAGGACCUGCCACCCUGCCAGCCUGGCUGCUACUGCCCUGAGGUGAGGGGCGGAGCCAGAGGAGAUGCCCCAGGAGAAGCGGGUCUCGGCCCACACUCCUGCCUUCCUUCUCUCUGCGAUGCCUGUGGCGACACCCCUCCCCACGAUGCCUCUUAAGGGUCCCUCACCUUCUGCCUCGUGCCCGUGUGCCCAUCCAUUUGCUCGGCAACAUGCACGUGCCCCUGCUGUGAGCACUCACACUACUGGCACUCGGGGACAGAGAUGGCUGCCACACAGCUCUGUCCCUGUGUGCCCUUCUGCGCAGGGGCUGCUGGAGCAGGCUGGGGGCUGCAUUCCCCCAGAGCAGUGUAGCUGCCUACACAUCACAGGGGAAGGAGCCAGGGUGACUCUGGCUCCCGGGGACCGCCUGCAGCUGGGCUGCAAAGAGUGGUGAGUUAAGGGGGCGGGGAGGCAGCGUCAGAGGGCUGGGGCCAGGGAAUGGGGGGGCAGGUGGCCCCACAGGGAAAUCGCCCUGGCCUGGACCCAACCCCAACCUCAUCCUGCUCCAAAUGAGCCCAGAGCUCAGGCCACCCCUACGUGAGCCCCACCAGCCACCUCUCUGGGCUGAGUCUGGUCUCCCCAGUCUUACCCCGACCACCCCCUCCCACAGUGAAUGCCGGCGUGGGGAGCUGAAGUGCACCAGCCAGGGCUGUCAAGGUAACGCUGCCCUGGAGAGACCCUAACUGUCCCCAUUUGCCCAGGAUUGGAAGGUUUUCUGGAUCUGGGACCAGGACAGUCCCAGACAAACCGGGAUGUUUGGUCACCCUCCCCUGACCCUCCCAGCAACCUCCUGCAGCCUUUCCUGUUUCCAGCCCUUCCUGGUCAUAACUGGGUCUCCUCCCUCCCCCUCUACUGGGGCUUGUGGUCUCAGGGAGGGUCACUGGGAAGGGUGCCCACUCGCUGCCCUUUCUAGGUCUUCUGCCUCUGAGCGGGUGGUCCGAGUGGUCACCCUGUGGGCCUUGCCUGCCCCCUGGUGUGCUGGCCCCCGCCUCCAGGACUGCCCUAGAGGAGCGCCGGUCUCAGCACCCAGCUGGCCUCUCCCCGACCUUGGCCCCCUUGCUGGCUUCGGAGCAGCACCGCCAUCGCCUCUGUUUGGACCCGGAGACUGGGAGGCCAUGGGCUGGGGACCCAGACCUGUGCACUGCACCACUCAGCCAGCAACGCCUCUGCCCGGACCCUAGGGCCUGCCAUGGUAAUACCGAGGGGCAGAGACCAACAGGGCAGGAGGGAGCCUGAGAUGAGAGAGUGGAGGGAGGGGUACCUGGCCAGGUAGGCCUGGGCCAUGUUGUUUAUUUCAGUAGCCAGGCGCUUAACAAGCCUGCUAAGCCUCCUGCUUGCCCCCAGGGCCUGCGGGAUUUGGGGGUAUUUGGCGAUCUGGCGCUGGAGGGGGGGCGGGCCGCAGCAGGAAGGAUCCCUGCAGCCGAUGAAAGGGGAGGAAGGGGGCUUUGGGUGCUCCGGGCCUAGCAGAGUGUCUGUAGGGCUGGAGCCCAAGGCCUUGGGGUGGGAGCAAGAAGCCAGGGCGGGGCCCUGGGCGCUGACUUCCAUUUUACCUCCCCAGACUUAUGCCAGUGGAGUCCUUGGGGGCCCUGGAGCCCCUGUCAGGUGUCGUGCAGUGGGGGCUUCCGGCUACGCUGGAGGGAGGCAGGGGGCCCCCCUGGAGGAGGCUGCCGGGGGCCUUGGGCUCAGACUGAGAGCUGCAACGUGGAGCCCUGCCCAGGUAACCCCCAUCCUGGCAUCUGGAGGCGGGGCCAAGGACUGUAACACGGGAGAUAGCACCUGAUGAGGAGGUGGCCUCUGCUCCUGGAGGCGUGCCCUGGAGGGCAGGGUGCUGUCCUGGGGGCCCAAAAGUCGGUCCCCAACACAGACUCCUACCUUCUGGUCCUCAGGGGAGAGCUGUGAAGCCCAGGACACCGUGCCCACCCUUGACUGUGCCAACCAGUGCCCUAGAAGCUGUGUGGACCUCUGGGACCGCGUGCAGUGUCUGCAGGGACCAUGCCGUCCAGGUGGCCGGGCCACGCCCACAGCCCAGCCUGGGAGCCCUAGGGCCUCAGACCAGAGCAGCUUGCUUCGCUGAUCCCUACCAGAGAGCAUGUGACCUGCGGGCGGGGACAUGUUACAGGAUCAGGGGUUAUAGGGCAGCAAAGUGGAUCCUUGGGUCACUUUCAGCACCUGGGUAGGGGUCCUGCGUAGAGCGAGCCUUACCUAACACAGGCUUUGUCUGUGAGGACGUUCUGGCAGCCUCAGGGGUCCCUGGGGUGGGGCCCACACAGGGUGGGCUGGAGUGACCCCUUCCUGUGCUCCAGCAGUGGAAACAGUGUGGAGACCGGGUCAAGUGGGGACUCGGGGGGCUGGGGUAGGGGAGGGUGCUCCAGGGUCAGCCUGAAGCUCCGGACCCCAUCUGGCUGCCAGAGGGACCCAUGAUGUGUGCCCGAACCUUGCUUGUCCUCCCCACCCCCCUCAGGCUGCCGCUGCCCCCCUGGCCAACUGGUGCAGGAUGGGCGCUGUGUGCCCAUCUCCUCCUGCCGCUGUGGCCUCCCCAGCCCCAAUGCCUCAUGGGUGGUGGCCCCAGCCGAGGUGGUACAGCUGGACUGCAAAAACUGGUAUGGCUGCCCACUGGUGGCCAAGCAGGGGAUGGGGAGUUUUAGGUGGGAGGCUUGGGACAGGUCAGGGUGGAGGGCGUUAGCGGGAAGCAAAGGCUCUGUUCCCCUUGACUUGUGCCCUUGACCCCUGUCCGCAGCACCUGUACCAACGGGUCCCUAGUGUGCCCACGCCAUGAGUGCCCAGUCCUUGGGCCUUGGUCAGCCUGGAGCAGCUGCUCUGCUCCCUGUGGUGGGGGCAGCAUGGGGCGACGUAGGAGCUGUGAGGAGGGUCCUAUAGGGGCGCCAUGCCAGGCCCAGGACACAGAGCAACGGCAGGAAUGUAACCCGCAGCCCUGCCCUGGUGAGCACCUGGGGUGGGGGAGUGAGGGGGGAGCCUCCCUGCCCUCUGGUGCUGCUGAGCUCGGCCGGCGUUCAACAGCGUGGGCGGUGGGUCCCGAGGCGGUCCCCUCCCUGGUACUCCACCUCACCAUCUGUGCGCUCCCCCCAGAGUGCCCGCCUGGCCAGGUGCCCAGUGCCUGUGCCGCUUUGUGCCCACGCCUCUGCUCGCAUCUGCAGCCUGGUGCCCUCUGUGCGCAGGAACCCUGCCGGCUCGGCUGUGGCUGCCCCGGAGAGCAGGUAUGGACAGUGCCCUGACUGCCGUAUGGGGGGGCAGGCAGGUGGGGGGCAGAGAAGUGUGGUGUGAGCAGAACUGAGCCCGCGCCUUCCUGCCGCAGCUGCUGCACAAUGGCACGUGUGUGCCCCCUGCGGCGUGCCCCUGCACCCAGAUCUCUCUGCCCUGGGGCCUUACCUUGACUCUUGAAGAACAGGCCCGGGAGCUUCCCCCAGGAACUGUGCUCACCUGGAACUGCACGCGCUGGUGAGGGCCCCGGGCAGGGGGGACAGGGGGAGGAGGGAGCUAGGGCAGGGAGGGGGUGGAGGGCAGCAUUGCUGAGAAGGGGGGUGGGGAGGAGGGCACCGGAGGCGUCCGAACACGUGCUUCUGUCUUCCCAGUAUCUGCCAAGAUGGAGCCUUCAACUGCUCCCCAGCUGACUGUCGUGGUGAGAUGUGGCUGUCUAGGCCCCUGCUGGUCCUUCCAAAGCCAGGGUGGGGUUGGCCCCGAUGAGGGCAGAGGGCGCUGCCUGCCCUAGGCAAAGCUGUCUCUCCCAAGAAGCCCCUUCCUUGCUCCGUCCACACUGGUGUUGGGGGCAUUCCUGUGAGCACACGGCUGUGAGUGAUGCAGGAAGUGGAGGGUCUUUCCCUGCAGAUGAGGAAGCAAAGGCUGAGGGUGAGCUAAAGUAGGACCCUUGUCUGGCAUCUGCCCUGUGCUGUUUUACCCCCAUCUGAUCAAAGUCAACAGGCGUUUGCUAAGGGCUCACAGGUGCCCAGCUCGGGCACACUGGGCUCUGUGUGGAUUCAGAGGCACACAGGCCUGGUGAGUCCUGAGCAGCCCCAGUCUGGCUGCUGAGGGCCAGCUCACCCACCGGAACAGGUAGGGACAGGAGACAGUUUCUGGCUCACUGACCAGCAGGCUGCACCCACAGGACUGGAAAUCGGUGCCAUGAAUGGAGAGGUCAGGGUGGACAGGACUGGUCAGGGGAGGCUUCCUGGAGAAGGCCAGACUCGAGUUAGGCCCCGUUAGUAUUUGGAAGGUGGAUAAGAGCAGACGGGCAUGUUUGGAGGCCUAGAGGCCCAGAGCCAGCCGAGUGGACAGCACUGGGAAGGCAGGAGGGACUCUAGGGGUGUCUGGUGUGGGAGGGGGGAGAAUCGAAGCCGGACCCAGGGCUGACCUGAGUGGUGGUGGUGGUGGUGGGGUCUUCCCUGGCAGAGUGCCCCUCCGGGGAAAUGUGGCAGCAGGUGGCCCCUGGGGAGCCAGGGCCCUGCGAGCGGACGUGCCGGGAGCCCAAUGCCACGGAGACCCAGGGCAGCUGCGGUGUGGGGCAGGCCCCAGG